AACUUUCGACAAUGGAUCUCUUGGCUCUUGGAUCGAUGAAGAACGCAGUCAAGUGCGAUAAAUGGUGCGAUUUGCAUGAGCUGUGAGUCAUUGAAAGUUUGAACGCAACAUGCGCCAGGCGAGAGUCUGGCAUGGCUGUGUGAGGGAGGGAAGUGAUGAGAGGUGGUUCUUUGUCGAAAUGAACUGGAGAGCAGGGAGGGGGGUUGGAGGAGAGAGGCGAGGAGGGUGGAGCGAGGGGGUGAUCCCUGAUCUCUUGGCACUCUGCGUGUCCUCGGACCCCGCAGCACAACACUGGUAUCCUUGGGAUAUCGUACCACACACCCACCUCAGAUCAGGCAGGACAACCCGCUGAACUUAAGCAUAUCAAUAAGCGGAGGCU
rnacentral:misc_RNA from 1 species